UAAUGAGACUGCCGGUGACAAACCGGAGGAAGGUGGGGAUGACGUCAAGUCCUCAUGGCCCUUAUGGUAGGGCUUCACACGUCAUACAAUGGUCGGUACAGAGGGUUGCCAACCCGCGAGGGGGAGCUAAUCCCACAAAGCCGAUCGUAGUCCGGAUCGCAGUCUGCAACUCGACUGCGUGAAGUCGGAAUCGCUAGUAAUCAUGGAUCAGCAUGUCACGGUGAAUACGUUCCCGGGUCUU
rnacentral:rRNA from 1 species